rnacentral:rRNA from 1 species
UACGGGGGGAGCAAGCGUUGUUCGGAUUUACUGGGCGUAAAGGGCGCGUAGGCGGCCACCGCAAGUCGGUUGUGAAAUCUCCGGGCUUAACUCGGAAAGGUCAACUGAUACUGUGCGACUAGAGUGCAGAAGGGGCAACUGGAAUUCUCGGUGUAGCGGUGAAAUGCGUAGAUAUCGAGAGGAACACCUGCGGCGAAGGCGGGUUGCUGGGCUGACACUGACGCUGAGGCGCGAAAGCCAGGGGAGCAAACGGG